rnacentral:rRNA from 1 species
AUGGUGGAUGCAACGUUGUGUGGAGUAGAAUGCCCCCACCUCUCGCUGCUAGGAUCUUCACACCGAUGUUUGCGCGCGAGGGGGAGGGGGGCACUGCCGUUUUGUUUUCUCAUGCUUCUUCUCUUGACCAUGAUAUUGUCUUACGAUGAGCACGUCCAGGGUCAGAUUCCCGGCGAAUUAGCGGUUAAUUUGUUGUAUCCCAGUGCUAUGUUAGGCAUCAACGCAAGAGCAUGCAUCAGGCUCUUGCGUGUUUUCCUACCUGUUCGAAGCGCCCUGGUUAUCUCCAGCGAUAAAAGAUCUCGCUGCCACCGUCAAAAUUUUCGACCCCCACCGAGGGCGUUUUCAUCUUUUCACCCUUUUGCCCAUGUGUGUGGUUGGCCCUGGUUGGACGAGGGCGCCUGCUUCUCUUCACUCCCCCGAUUGGGUGAAACCCUAGCCAACGCUCCCCAAUCCCCAUCACAUCCCUCUCCUUCGCUCCCGCCGCCGCGCUCCCGUCCUCCCUUCCCCCCCUUCCCAGUCGCCGCACGAGGUGGACUGCGACCCACGCCCCUGUCGUCUCCUCUGCCCAGCCAAUCACCCCUCCUCUGUGUGCCUCCCUCCUCCUCCUCCUCCUCAUUGGGACCGGGCAAGGGGAUGAGUGCGGGCCGCAGAGACGACAAGGUGGCUGAGCUAUCCACGGCGCCGUCAUCGAUGAGACGCUCAUCCACACGCGGCAAGCCUUGGACUAGGACGCGCCACGAGAAGCAGACGGGGAGGCCAUUGCCAGGUGCGCCCCUCUCCCUCCCUCUCCUCUCUCCCUCUCUCAGAUGCAAUCCAACGACCUCUGCAUUUCCUUUCGCACUACAGCUGGUCCGAGAUCUGAGCGCACCCGUCGCCGCCGCCGUUCGUUGUCCACUUGGCUGCAGCCAUCCCCAAGAAGAGGGGAUGUCACGGCAGCGGGAUCCUCGCCUGUCUCCACUCCCUCACCUCCCCGUUCUGCUGGCAAGGGUGUGGUAUCCCAUGGGGGGUGCUUCUCGCUCGAGGAGUAACCACUCCAGAGCAGGAGCAGGACAGGUAUAUGGUUCCUGCGUGUGUGGUUUGGUGUCUGGGUUUUUCCCAAUUCCAGUCCAGAAGCAUGGAUUUAGGGAUUAUCUUACUUGGUUUUGGGUGCGGCUGCUGGUAGGCAAACCAUUUUGUAAGGGCCUCUAUCUGUGCACCAUGAUUUUAGUCUUCAGGAACCAUAAGAAUGGAGAAGUUCCAGAAAAGUUUGUCGAUCAGCUCAUGAUUAUACUUGAGGGAAGGAUCUAUGAAAUUCGAAGAGUUGUACCAAGGCCUACCACUUCUUUGGCCGCCAAUGUAAUUUCUAUCCAGCGCCUAUCUCUCUUACCAGCUUCCAAGGGAGUCCGGGGUGACGAGGGUGAUGGCACUGGCUCCGACAUAACAGAGUCAUGCCGCCUAAGGUUUUAUUGGUCCAUGACAAUGGGUAUAGCAAACCGAUUAGUGCGGUGUGCUUUGAAGAGAGCCAAAAGGAAGAGAGAGGCGAGUGUACAUGACCUGAAGACGGCAAGGCAACACUUCCACGACGACGUCAACAUCGUCGUGGUCUAUCUUCAGCGGCACCGGCACCGGGCCGUCAGAUCAGGGUCAUGGAGCGAAUACAUGGUCUGA